CCUACGGGUGGCUGCAGUGGGGAAUUUUCCACAAUGGGCGAAAGCCUGAUGGAGCAACGCCGCGUGUGUGAUGAAGGUCUUCGGAUCGUAAAGCACUUUCGACCGGGACGAAAAACCUCUGGCUAACAUCCAGGGGCCUGACGGUACCGGGAGAAGAAGCACCGGCUAACUCUGUGCCAGCAGCCGCGGUAAUACAGAGGGUGCAAGCGUGGUUCGGAAGUGUUGGGCGUAAAGUUCGUGUAGGCGAUGUGAAAGCCCAUGGCUUAACCAUGGAAGUGCGUCUGAAACUGCCGAGCUUGAGUGCCGGAGAGGAUGGCGGAAUUCCGCAAGUAGAGGUGAAAUUCGUAGAUAUGCGGAGGAACACCGGUGGCGAAGGCGGCCAUCUGGACGGUAACUGACGCUGAGACGCGAAAGCGUGGGGAGCAAACAGGAUUAGAUACCCUGGUAGUC
rnacentral:rRNA from 1 species